rnacentral:snoRNA from 7 species
CGGCGAUGAGGAGAUACCAACCGUAUUGAGUUAUAGUGAUAUUUCUUAUACGCUAUUCUGAGCCGAUA